rnacentral:rRNA from 1 species
AUUGAACGCUGGCGGCAGGCCUAACACAUGCAAGUCGAACGAGUGGCGGACGGGUGAGUAAUGUCUGGGAAACUGCACGAUGGAGGGGGAUAACUACUGGAAACGGUAGAUAAUACCGCAUACCAUCGGAUGUGCAAAGAUGGGAUUAGCUAGUAGGUGGGGUAAAGGCUCACCAAGACGACGAUCUCUAGCUGGUCUGAGAGGAUGACCAGCCACACUGUGACUGAGACACGGCCCAGACUCCGACGUGAGGCAGCAGUGGGGAAGAUGGCGCAAUGGGGGAAACCCUGACGCAGCCAUGCCGCGUGAAUGAAGAAGGCCUUCGGGUUGUAAAGUGCUUUCGGUAGCGAGGCGUUAACUACAGAAGAAGCACCGGCUAACUCCGGGCCAGCAGCCGCGGUAAUAC